CUAGCGUUGUCCGGAAUCAUUGGGCGUAAAGCGCGUGUAGGCGGUCCGGUAAGUCCGCUGUGAAAGUCGGGGGCUCAACCCUCGGAUGCCGGUGGAUACUGUCGGGCUUGAGUACGGAAGAGGCGAGUGGAAUUCCUGGUGUAGCGGUGAAAUGCGCAGAUAUCAGGAGGAACACCAAUUGCGAAGGCAGCACGCUGGGACGUUACUGACGCUGAGACGCGAAAGCGUGGGGAGCGAACAGG
rnacentral:rRNA from 1 species